rnacentral:misc_RNA from 1 species
CUGAGUAAAUUGGGUCUCUAAGGCUCAUAACUCCCACCCUUUGUAUACCUUACUACAUAUUUUAAGUUGCCUGGGUAGGAACUCCUACCCCUUCUAACGAGAUGGGUCGGGGCCUACCAUUGGAACUCUUUUAAAACUCUUUUAAAUUGAGUCGUCUGAGAAAUAAAUUCAAAUGAAUUA